rnacentral:rRNA from 1 species
GGGGAUAACAUUUGGAAACAGAUGCUAAUACCGCAUAACAACGAAAGCCACAUGGCUUUUGUUUGAAAGAUGGCUUUGGCUAUCACUCUGGGAUGGACCUGCGGUGCAUUAGCUAGUUGGUAAGGUAACGGCUUACCAAGGCGAUGAUGCAUAGCCGAGUUGAGAGACUGAUCGGCCACAAUGGAACUGAGACACGGUCCAUACUCCUACGGGAGGCAGCAGUAGGGAAUCUUCCACAAUGGGCGCAAGCCUGAUGGAGCAACACCGCGUGAGUGAAGAAGGGUUUCGGCUCGUAAAGCUCUGUUGUUGGAGAAGAACGUGCGUGAGAGUAACUGUUCACGCAGUGACGGUAUCCAACCAGAAAGUCACGGCUAACUACGUGCCAGCAGCCGCGGUAAUACGUAGGUGGCAAGCGUUAUCCGGAUUUAUUGGGCGUAAAGCGAGCGCAGGCGGUUGCUUAGGUCUGAUGUGAAAGCCUUCGGCUUAACCGAAGAAGUGCAUCGGAAACCGGGCGACUUGAGUGCAGAAGAGGACAGUGGAACUCCAUGUGUAGCGGUGGAAUGCGUAGAUAUAUGGAAGAACACCAGUGGCGAAGGCGGCUGUCUGGUCUGCAACUGACGCUGAGGCUCGAAAGCAUGGGUAGCGAACAGGAUUAGAUACCCUGGUAGUCCAUGCCGUAAACG